AGAGCUCAUGCUUCCACUCUGUUUCCUCAGAUACUGGCAAGGAAAGCUCUCCCGUCUCUCACUGGGAGACUUUGGGCCUUUCUCAUGUAAUCUUUUGAAGGACGGGAGGUUGUCUUCACUCUCCAAUGCAAACAGCUUCCACAGCUAACAGGUCUCUUUUUCAUGGUGCCCUAUUUUAAAGCAGAGGAUGGAAAUAAAAUUAAGACACUUAACUGCCCAAUGUCUUCCUUCUUAGUAAGUGUUAGGAGAAAGGAGCCGAAGCAGCAAGGAUGGGCAUCGUUUGUGGAAAUCAUCAUGAGCAGAUUUUAUUAGCACAAUGGGGGCAGCAUCUUUGGCCGUUGCUCAUUGGCAAGUUAAUUUAUCUCCUUGGAUCCUAUCUUAUACAGGGUCCCUGCUGUUUGGAAGGGAGUAGAUAAGGACACGGAGGAAUUCCACUGCUGAGGGGCAGAAGUGAAAGCAUCACCCCUGCCAUCCGAGUAGAUAUGGAGGCAAGGGGACAGUUGCCUGUGUCCCUGCCUCCCUCCUUCAGGUUGAUCGUUGGCAUGGAUGCUGGUCAGAUGUGCAGCUGGGCGCGGUGGUUCAUGCCUGUCAUCCCAGCACUUUGGGAGGCCGAGGCAGGAGAUCACCUGAGGUCAGGAGUUCAAGACCAGCCUGGACAACAUGAUGAAACCCCAUCUCUAAAAGUAUAAAAGUUAGCUGGACAUGGUGGUGCAUGUCUGUAAUCCCAGCUACUUGGGAGGCUGAGGCAGGAGAAUUGCUUGAAACUGGGAGGUGGAGGUUGCAGUGACCCGACAUGGUGCUACUGUACCAACCGGGGUGAUGGAACAAGACUCUGUCUCAAAAAAAAAAAAAAAGAUUAAAAAAGCUGUGCAGCUGAAAGCAGAGGGACAUCUGCCUCCUGCUUCACCUGGAAGGCCAGGAGAAGCCCACAUUCAACACAGCACUGUCCUCAUGCAGCACGGCCCCUGACAGAGGGUAGGAAUGAAUGUGGGGACCUGGGGCAGGCCCUACAGCCUGCAAGAGGCAGGCCAAAGAUCUAGCAACUGUGUACACCCCAGAGUGGGGCUGGGAGUGCUCUGAGACUGGUGAAUGAUAGAGGCCUAGAGGAAGAAGCCAGAGUAGGAAGAUCUGUGAUCAGAUGCAAGGACUGGAAUCACAGACUCCAGCAGUGAGUAACAUCACAAUGCCCCUGUCCUAAAUGAAAUCAGUGAGUCCUUCGAGAGAUCUGAGGCUGGGGACCAGGCCAGACCAGCCAAUUCACAUGGGAAACCAGCAUGGGACCAGAGCACCCGGUACACUUAUCCACAUAGCCCUGGGCAUCCAGACACUAUGGAGAAACUGAGAACUCUGAAAGAUUGUGCCGCUACACCAAGGAAAAGGGUUCUUUGAGCCAGAAUUUGACAAACAGGCAAACUUAAUUGAGUAUCCCUGCUCCUCACCACCCUACCCCAAAACCCAUUGAGAUAAGGCUCAUGGGAAGAGUGAGCCAGUCUAGAGAAAUAUAGAUAGGGCUUCACUGUGUCACCCAGGCUGGAGGGCAGUGGUGCCAUCACUAGUCACUGCAGCCGCAAACUCCUGGGCUUCAGUGAUCUUUCUGCCUCAGCCUCUCCAGUGCCUGGAACUACAGCAGCCCUUUUCACUCUCAAAAGUGCCCCAGAUUGGGGGAAGAGUCUGGAACUAAGCAGAGGAUUCAGAAACCUAAAUGGAUAAGCCUGGGUGAAGUUUCUCCUCCCCCGGCUUCAGGAAGAAAAACACUGGAGAAGCCCAGGCAGCUGACACUCAGAUGCCAUCUAGGUGAAAGAAAACUACAUUCAGCUUUCUGCAUCAGACAGAAUGGGGCUCAUGCCACAUCAUGAGGUCAUCAAGCAGCUCAUGGAGAGGUUCACCUGGUGAGGAAUGGAGGCUUCCUGCAAACAGCCAUUUUUUAAUAGAACACUGAAAUGGAAGGGAGAAGAUGGCUUCAUAUAUGUUUAAAAAGCCAGUUUUCUGCAGUUACAUCUAGAAACUUGAGAGGAGACAUUCCUGGAGUUGAAUGCUCAUGAAAUUGGGAUGAAGUCUCUCUCCUCUUCCAACCUGCAAGUCUGCUCUCUAGACAAUACCUGCCUGAGCAGGCACUAUUUGAAGGAAGAGGAACUAUUUAUAGCAACCACAGGGAAUGCUGGAGUCAGCUGAGCACAGACCGAGCUCCUUGUCCUUGCUCUCCAGCGCCCCGCUCAAUCCACUGGAGUAGUCUCGUAAAAAUGUGCAAGUUUUGUAAAAAUGUGCAAGUUGCCAGCCUCAGGGCAUAACUCCUCAGUCACUGGUUCUAUUAAAUACACCCCCAGGUGGAACAAAACAGUUGUGCAGAAGUGGGUAGUGGAAUCCCUGUGCAGAAUACUAUUGACAUCGAAGUCUGGGCUGCAUGAAAUAUGCCAUCUGAGUUCAAUCAUGGGAUUAUUUCCGAAAACAUUUCCCAAAGUUGCUAUACACAGACAACUGCUUCUUAGUAAAUGCAAAAGAAAGGCGUAUUUUCUCAUAAAAUUGGAACACUGAGUCUCUUGAUGGUGACAGUGGGUGUUUCUAGUUUGAUUACAUAUUGGAAACAUUUCUAGCGGGGGCCUCAGUGUCUCUGAUGCUGAGAACAUGAAGGUGCUGCAUAUCUCCUCUUCAUCUCCCACUUUCCCAGUCCUCUAGACAUCAAAUGAAGCUAUGCAGAGAAAACAUAAGCCCCGCAAGGGCAUGAAUUUGAAAGUAUGUGUGUGUUUGUUGGUGGCAGGUAGUAGAGGCUGAGAUGAUGGAGGAGGGGGGAUGGGAGUGAGUAUACCUCAUCAAAUUUAGUGGGUAACUGACUUGGCAAGCACAGUGAUGAAAUCAUUCUUGCAUAUUAAAGAAGUCACCCCGAUCCUUUAUUGUUUGUUUCUUGUCUCCAUUCCCCUUUCUCUUUGAAAAACAAAACACUCAGAAAAAUAU